UUGCAAUAUGACACAAAUGCUGAAUUAGAAACAUAUAUUCGUUGGCGAUAAACGUUAAUAUCUUCUUUUUCUAUUAACAUCUGACAAUAGUGGGUUUGCAGCCUGAACGAUGCAACGAAUUCUUUUAUGUGUUCCUAUAGACUAUAGACUAUAAACUAUAGACUAUAGAGGGAUGCACGGAAAACGAAUGUAAACACGAAAUGAUCGUACCUGACCUGAGAUAUAGCGGUGUCCCUUCAAACUUUCAUGAUACUUUCUGCGACCACAAUAGACCUGAAACAUUCCAGACCUAUACCUGCGUAUGCUCUUCGGAUUCUUCUGCAGUAAGACAUAUUAACCUAUACGUUUUAACUCGUUAAUUGUAUUCGUUAUUUACAUGUAAAGAAGUUCAGCUUUCAAAAUAAUUUUCGCUUAAACAUGAGAUACAGCUAUUAGAAAUAGAAACAGUUUCGUUAAAAAUUUCAAAUUUAGAGGACGAAUGAAUGAUAGUAAUUAAUGAUAUUCGAAAGAGAAGUCGAAUCUAGAAUAAAAAUGAUUCGUCUUCGUACAUAGAACGCUAUUUAUGAACGAAGUUGUAUCGUUAACUCGUGCCACCCGUGCCCGGUGGUGCCGCUCGAGAGAACGACACGUUGCUGCUGACUCCUGCGUUUUCUCGCAAACACAUUUAUUAGUCGAAGCAAAUGCCAUAGCCUGUGCUCGACCUUUUCUAUUGUCCUAAGAUGAGCUCUAGCGUGGCACGUACCAACACUUCCUUUUGCAUUGAAAAUUAAAAUUAGUAAUUAUCUCGUUACUUAUCGCGCGUUUAGUCGCGUUAUAUUUUAAUAUUUAUUUCUCGUAAUAAAGACAAGGUUUUGAUUUUACUAUUUAAAAAAUGAACUUUAAAAAUAUAAAUAAAUAUAUCUCUUCGUUACAAAACGUUCUAUCAAGAUAAUUUAAAACUAUAUCUGUCAAUUUUAAUUUGUAACAGCUCGUACGUUUAAUAAGAAUACAGAUCGAUAAUCUACGUCUCCGAUGCAACGUGUGUGUUCUUUCACCUGUUAUUUCACUAUUCAUUGGUUGCGCACCUUACGGCUGCAAGUUGAGCUACACAAUAAAAGGUCUCUCUCUUCUUCUCGUGCUAGCUCUGUUCCUCUGGGUAUACAAGCACACGAGUCGUGACCUUGUGGCAUUUGGUACCUGGCCGUACCAGUCGGCGCACGACUCUGUCUGACGUAUAGUAAUGGACAUGAUUCGAAUACUGAACCGCGCAUUGCUAACUUAUCCAAAUUUUUUCUUUCGAAAUUUUUCUGUUAUUCCGUUCAAUUUUUUUGGUGAUUCUUUUUCAGAAAAUUAUGUCUACUAUAGCAAAUAUUUACCUUCUGUACAAUCGUUUGAAAAGAGCGGGCAAAGUUUGAGAAUGGGCGUGUAUGUAUGAGAGAGAAAGAGAGGCGUGUAGCGCGAAUAUGUAUACAUGCAUAUAAACAAGAAGAGACCACCUGGCGUUUCGUCUCUUAUCGUCGGCUCGAUUACGCUACUUAUCAAAUAUCGAAGAUAUAUUAACAUUUUCUUUGUUUGUUACUUCUCGAGUCACUUUUAAAAUCUAAUUACAUAUGUAUAUAAUAAUACCCUUCGAAUAUAAUAUCGGUGUUAAAUAUCGAUUAAAGCUUCGACGUGUAAAAGAAUGCCGGUAUAUAAUUAAUUGAGCUAUAAUAGUUACGUAGUCAUUAUUAUUUACGGUUAUUUACUUUUACAUAAAUUGAAAAUACAUAUUUUCGUGGAUUUUUUUUUUUCCCUAUUCUUUUUGUUCUCGGUUUUAAAUACGUUACAAAGAGUUGAAGGACGUAGAAAUAUUUUUCUGACGCGAAUUGAUUUCUUUUGUAAAAAUUGACCUAUUUUAAUACUGUGUAAAAAUAAAGCACGAAGUAACACUUCAAUAGGGUGUUUAUAAAUAAGAAAAAUCGGAGACUAAGUCAAUGAUUCUAAGACGAGUCUGCAAAUAUUUCAUAAAUCCUUUUUCAGCCAAAAAUAUGGGUAACUCGUAACAUUCAUUUAUUUGCAUAUGUAUAUAUACAUCAUGUGGCAUUAUACGUUUUUAUAAGAAAUUUUUGGCUG
rnacentral:lncRNA from 1 species